ACGAACGCUGGCGGCGUGCUUAACACAUGCAAGUCGAACGGAAAGGCCCUGCUUUUGUGGGGUGCUCGAGUGGCGAACGGGUGAAUAACACGUGAGUAACCUGCCCUUGACUUUGGGAUAACUUCAGGAAACUGGGGCUAAUACCGGAUAGGAGCUCCUGCUGCAUGGUGGGGGUUGGAAAGUUUCGGCGGUUGGGGAUGGACUCGCGGCUUAUCAGCUUGUUGGUGGGGUAGUGGCUUACCAAGGCUUUGACGGGUAGCCGGCCUGAGAGGGUGACCGGCCACAUUGGGACUGAGAUACGGCCCAGACUCCUACGGGAGGCAGCAGUGGGGAAUAUUGCACAAUGGGCGGAAGCCUGAUGCAGCAACGCCGCGUGCGGGAUGACGGCCUUCGGGUUGUAAACCGCUUUCGCCUGUGACGAAGCGUGAGUGACGGUAAUGGGUAAAGAAGCACCGGCUAACUACGUG
rnacentral:rRNA from 1 species